GGCCUAUACCGGAUUAGAGAUAGUAUAGAGAUAAAAAGGUCUUUAGAAGGUCAAAUAGACAGGACUGGAUGAUUUGGUGUUGGAGCAGAGGGGAAAGAGUGAGGGAGAUCAAGAAAUCAAGGCUGACUCUGUGAUUUGGAGUUUGACGGUAAGGCCAUUCACCAGAAUAGGAAACAAAAAAUAAGAGACGGUUGGUGGAGGAAAUGAAUCUGGUUUUAGAACACUAUGACUUUGAGGUAUCUGUAGAACAUUUCAGAAGGUAAUUCCAUUCACAGUUCUAGAGCCUAAGAGAGAAUUCUGGGUUUUACAGAAGUCCCUGGGACAACGGCCAUACCUGGUACAUAAGUUCAAGUGAGAAUAUCCAGGGAGAAUGUAUAAGACAAGAAGUUUCUCACAGCAGAAAACAUGCCACUUGCACCCCGUUCCAGCACCCUGGAGAAAUGAGAAGUCAUAGGUCAAGACAGAAGAGAAUUAACAAAGGGGCAGAAAGCAAUGGAAUAUUCUUUAGAGUUUCUUUCACCGUGCAUUCCUUGCAGAAAGUGGAAAAGUUUUCCAAGUUAAGAAGAGGAGAAAAGAGACCACAGAUUCAAAGAUAUGUUUGAUAGACAGUUCCAGAUCCUGCCAGCACAGCGGCCCUCAUCAUUCCUGAUAAAAUGUUCGCCCAUCCUUUUAUUUUCUCAGAUGCCAACAGUGACUCAAGCCCCCAGCAUUGCAUGAAGUUUGCUGUGGAAAUGCUGAGCUCUCCACAGAGACCCGGGGCCCAGAAACAUAAUUAAAGGCCUUUAUCAAUUUUGCUAUCAUCUUGUCCUAGUUUUGUAGAAUACUCUUGAUGAAGGCAGAGAACAGCAGUAAGUAAUUAGUUUCCUCUCCCAGAGAAUUAUGUGGGAAUAGGAAAUCACACAGGAGCAAAUCCAUAGAAGCAAUCCGUCCUGUGGUCUCGGAGUCCUAAGAGCUCAGUCAUUUUCUGUGAGAGGAGGGAGGCAAGUCAGGACUUUCACAGGAUGCCUG